UACAGAGGGGGCAAGCGUUGUUCGGAAUUACUGGGCGUAAAGGGCGCGUAGGCGGCCUUCUAAGUCGAACGUGAAAUCCCCGGGCUCAACCCGGGAACUGCGUCCGAUACUGGAAGGCUUGAAUCCGGGAGAGGGGUGCGGAAUUCCAGGUGUAGCGGUGAAAUGCGUAGAUAUCUGGAGGAACACCGGUGGCGAAGGCGGCAUCCUGGACCGGUAUUGACGCUGAGACGCGAAAGCGUGGGGAGCAAACAGG
rnacentral:rRNA from 1 species